UCUAAAUGUUUGGAUUUUUUUUUUGUUGUAUAUAGUUUUUAAGCAUGUCAUAGUGACAUCAAUGUUUGAUAAUCAACAAAACAGACAAACAUACGAGAAUUGUGUUACAGAAUUGCCAUCGUGUGCAUAUUUUAACCAAUGCAAGUGAAGAAGUUUCAGGCAUUAAAGACAUCUCUCAUGCUUGUUGUGUUUUGCAGAAUGUGUUUUUAAGGAUUUUAUUGCUCUUGCUGCUACUUUUACUUUUGAUCAUGUUACUGAAACAAAGGUUCCUAGGAAAAUUGUGGUGGAAGCUUAUAACAUUGCCAAAGGAAAUUGAAAGACUUUAGUUGUAUCUGCAUAUGUUUAAUGUGCUUUAAAAGACUCAGCCCCCUCGCUCGAGGUCUUGGAAAUGGUCAGAAAUGAUAUGUAGCAGUUAAUCUUUCAUUUGCAAUUCAUUGUUGACUUGAGCACUUAUACCUCUCUGUAUUUCGUUCUUUGUUAACUUCUAGUUGUUCAUUUGCAGCAGCUCUUAGUUUACGCUUAUAAUGGGGUAUAGUGUACUAAAACUAUCAGGUUUCUUCCUAAAUUAUGAUCAAGUCAUUACUCAAAAUAUCAAAUAUUGCAGGAUAAGUUUGACUUGUUAGGUGAUCCUAUCGAUGUUGAAAAUGCAGUAGCAACGCAAUGUGGAUGGAGGCUGAGCAAUCACAACUUCAUUGUGCACAAAAAAAAUACAAGAAACUUAGAGAAACGAGGGGGGGAAGAGUAUGCUAGAAACAACCCACCAGUGGACAAGCUUAAUAACUAAGAAGUGGGUUGUUCCAAUAUGACAGGUAUUCUCUUUCACCGGAGAAAUGGUCAUGGUUCUUCUUAUAGCAUCCUAAUCUUGGAUUUUAUUGGAAAAACCACAUCCUAAACUUGAAACCCUUAUAGUUUUCUCUGUUAGUUUGUGGUCUUGUAGGAGCGAUAAAAAAUACACCACAAACAAGUCUAAUUUUCUUCCCUUUUUUGAUGUUGCUUUUGAUGAUGCCUUUUUGCGUUCUUUUCUACCCUUGUGCCUAUUGUUGUUGAUCCUUGGAUCUCUUUGUAGUGCCCCUUAAGUUUAGGAUUGUUUUGGCUAUUGUUUUUUGUGGCCUUUUCUGCUUAAUUUGUAACUUCUUUUUUAUUUUUAUCAACAUGGACAUGUACUGCUCUUCUUCAAGAGCAAAUGUGGAAGGAAAUGAAGUAGCAAACAAUAAAAUAGACGAGCUAGUAGAGGCAAAAGAGGAACAUGGGAGGACUUUGGAUAGUGUUUUGGCGUUUCUUAAACACCAAGGAUUUACCUGCUAACGACUUGCUGAUUGAAUAUGCAUAAGUUUGGUAGCAGGGAAGAUGGUAUAUAUAUGCUCUACUAUGAAGACUUUUUGUUUGGAUAUCUGCUUCUACGAAGAUUCUUUUUUUGGAUGAAGUUCCGAGUCUUCUUUUCUGGAUAUAUGCUUCUAUGAAGACUCCUUUUUGGUUGAAGUUUCGAGUCUUCUUUUUUUA